rnacentral:misc_RNA from 2 species
CCCAACUAUCCCUAUUAAUCAUUACGGUGGUCCUAGACCAACAAAAUAGAACCAACGUCCUAUUUUAUUAUUCCAUGCUAAUCUAUUCAAGCAAAAGCCCGCUUUAAACACUCUAAUUUUUUCAAGGUAAUGGUCCUGGUUCCCACGGCACACGCGAUAAAAGAACGUGCCGGUUCACCAGAAGGUAAGACCCGACACAGAACAGUACUCGCCAAAGACGGACCGCCCGGCCAGGCCUAAAAUUCAACUACGAGCUUUUUAACUGCAACAACUUUAAUAUACGCUAUUGGAGCUGGAAUUACCGCGGCUGCUGGCACCAGACUUGCCCUCCAA